CAAGUCCAGCCAAGAAGUGAUCUAAUUCCAGAGUGAGUUGAACCACAAAAUCCCCCAGAGGCCAGGGGAUCCUCAGCUGGUGACACCCCUCCCAGCCCUCACUCGGCCACACUGGUGCAUCCCGGCUUGCCUGUGUUACAGCUUGUACCUGUGUUCAGCAGUUCUUGAGCUCUUGUACUGCUCCCAAGAAGAAUGAGGAGAUGCUGAUAUUGAAGGGUCAAAUCUUUCCUUAUUGAAAAUUCACCCAAGAGGCAUCAAGAUGACCUCUGGCCAGAGACUGAGUCAUCUUUGCAUGACAUCAACACGACCUGCUUCUGCAGGCCCUCAGGGAACAGAGCAGAAGCUCUAUUCCAGAUCGAAGAUGACAGCCUGGGAUCCCUUUCCAUCCAUGUGCAUGUAAGGAUCUUGACACGCAAAGCCAAGAUACAGCCUUCCUCCUUGUAUAAUUCAUUCUGGUUAUCCACACACCUAGAACCGUGAAGUUUAUAAUCUGCUCCUUUCUAACUGCUGCUUAUAGAAAUAUAUUUGCCAAAGUCAAUCAGAGCCAUGGGCAAUGUGAGGAAUUGAGAAGUGAAGCCAGCUGGACUUCCUGGAUCGAGUGGGGACUUGGAGAAC